GACGAACGCUGGCGGCGUGCUUAACACAUGCAAGUCGAACGGAAAGGCCCUGCUUUUGUGGGGUGCUCGAGUGGCGAACGGGUGAGUAACACGUGAGUAACCUGCCCUUGACUUUGGGAUAACUUCAGGAAACUGGGGCUAAUACCGGAUAGGAGCUCCUGCUGCAUGGUGGGGGUUGGAAAGUUUCGGCGGUUGGGGAUGGACUCGCGGCUUAUCAGCUUGUUGGUGGGGUAGUGGCUUACCAAGGCUUUGACGGGUAGCCGGCCUGAGAGGGUGACCGGCCACAUUGGGACUGAGAUACGGCCCAGACUCCUACGGGAGGCAGCAGUGGGGAAUAUUGCACAAUGGGCGGAAGCCUGAUGCAGCAACGCCGCGUGCGGGAUGACGGCCUUCGGGUUGUAAACCGCUUUCGCCUGUGGCGAAGCGUGAGUGACGGGAAUGGGUAAAGAAGCACCGGCUAACUACGU
rnacentral:rRNA from 1 species